UACGUAGGGUGCAAGCGUUAAUCGGAAUUACUGGGCGUAAAGCGUGCGCAGGCGGUUAUGCAAGACAGAGGUGAAAUCCCCGGGCUCAACCUGGGAACUGCCUUUGAGACUGCAUAGCUAGAGUACGGUAGAGGGGGAUGGAAUUCCGCGUGUAGCAGUGAAAUGCGUAGAUAUGCGGAGGAACACCGAUGGCGAAGGCAAUCCCCUGGACCUGUACUGACGCUCAUGCACGAAAGCGUGGGGAGCAAACAGG
rnacentral:rRNA from 1 species